rnacentral:lncRNA from 1 species
GGGUCACACAUUGUAACACUCAUCUGGGAAAGUGAGUGGAGACAGUUAAACUGGACUUUGUGUAGCCUCUACCAUGGCUCACUACAGAAUGUCUGCAUCAUGGGGCCCUCCAUGAGGCAUCAUCUAUUCACAUUUCUGAGGUCCAUCCACUUUGCCUCCUGUGGCCACACAGUAGUAGUCUAUGGUAUGGCUAUCCUGACUUUUCCUUGACCUCCUCAUGGCUUCAGAGUCCCACAGUCACUUCAGCAGGGUUAAGCUUCUGUAGAGGAGUCUUCCCUCGAUGGACCUCAUUCCAAAAGUCUCCAGACCUGAGGGGCUGUGAGCAAUAACCAAGAGUGGACUGAACUCUUGGAUCAAGCCCCAUCAUCUUCUUCCUCAACUGCAGAGGAAAAAGAUGCUCUUGCCACUUAGACCUGGCUCUGCCCGGUUGACACAAGGCAAGAUCGACUUGAGACAAACAGAAGAGCAUCCAGGAUGCUAGAGAGAGGUUGUUC